rnacentral:rRNA from 1 species
CAUUAAAGAGUUCUAUAACUCCCAAACCCAUGUGAACAUACCUAACGUUGCCUCGGCAGGUCGCACCUACCUUGUAGCACCUUACCCUGUAAGGCCUACCCGGGAGGUGCGGGUAAGCCUGCCGGCGGCCCACCAAACUCUGUUUGAUAUUGAAUUCUGAACCUAUAACUAAAUAAGUUAAAACUUUCAACAACGGAUCUCUUGGUUCUGGCAUCGAUGAAGAACGCAGCGAAAUGCGAUAAGUAAUGUGAAUUGCAGAAUUCAGUGAAUCAUCGAAUCUUUGAACGCAUAUUGCGCCCAUUAGUAUUCUAGUGGGCAGGACCGUUCGAGCGUCAUUUCAACCCUUAAGCCUUCGUUGCUUAGUGUUGGGAGCCUACGGCAACGUAGCUCCUCAAAGUUAGUGGCGGAGUUGGUUCACACUCUAGACGUAGUAAUUUUUUAUCUCGCCUAUUAGUUGAACUAAUACCCUGCCGUAAAACCCCCAAUUUAUCAAGGUUGACCUCGAAUCGGUUCAGACAAACUCGCUAAAUUGAAGCAUCUUA